rnacentral:rRNA from 1 species
UACGUAGGGUGCGGGCGUUGUCCGGAAUUAUUGGGCGUAAAGAGCUUGUAGGCGGUUUGUCGCGUCUGCUGUGAAAAUCCGGGGCUCAACCCCGGACUUGCAGUGGGUACGGGCAGACUAGAGUGUGGUAGGGGAGACUGGAAUUCCUGGUGUAGCGGUGAAAUGCGCAGAUAUCAGGAGGAACACCGGUGGCGAAGGCGGGUCUCUGGGCCGAUACUGACGCUGAGGAGCGAAAGCGUGGGGAGCGAACAGG